rnacentral:lncRNA from 1 species
GGAGGGAAGGAGCCCUGAAGUGUGUUUGCCCAGCUGCUGGGGCGCCUGGCUCCAGCCCUUGUUUGGAAAUGGCCCCGGGCAAAAGAAGAAAGACCAGAAUCUCCGCUUCUGAGCUGUGGAUGCCCAAGACAAAAGAACGCAAGCCCAUGACUGGUCUCAGAUGCAGAUGCCUAACAACAAACAGCCCCACCCACCCCCAGUUGAGGAGAGGAGGGGGCUGUGGCUACAGACAGACCUCAUGUGACUUCAAUCUGACACCUAUGGCCUGUGUGACCCUUGUUAGUGACUGUCUCCCUGUGCCUCAAUUUCCUUUCAAUAAGUAGGAUAAGUGCUAUUUGGCUGUGAGGUUGUUUGUGAAUUAACCUCAAAAUAUUUACAAUUACUUGAUCUCAGCUCUGCACAGAGGAGCUGCUCAAAUGAACAUCAUUUAUGUUUAUUUGCCUCCAAGAGAGAAGGCCCUGGGCCUGA